UUUAAAGAAAUAUUUGAAUAUUUGAAUAUUUUUAUUUAUUUGUCUGUGGUAACAUGGUAUAAGGGUUCUAGCUAAAAAAUAUUAUCUAAGAAGACUGCUGGAUUUUUGAUGACGUAUUUACUGAACAAAGUUAUAGCCGUGGUUACUACUUGCUAACAUAACGAUUUCGUUGUCCAUACGGUCGUGGUGGAUUGGAGGGGAAAGUGCAAACACCACUUUAACGACGUUGCCAAUUAUCCUGAAACAUAUUUAUUUUCUUUUGCACUCUUCAGGCAGAAAUUCUCAUAGAAUAAACGCAUAAACAGGCCAGUAUCUUUCAUGGCUUAUCACAAUUAUUAUUUCUUAUCAUCGGUCAUAAGUCUAUAUUUCAUAUAUCUUUUUGCAUUGAUGCGUUCGGAAUUGUAUUUAAGUUUCAACUGUAAAUUGCUUUCAAAUAUUUUGAAAUAACUAUGAAGUUUGUCUGUUAGUUUUAAUUUGAUUGUUUCCAUUUCUGAAUUAUUCAGUGCUGUCCACGUAUUAGUGGUCAUUUAAAGGUUUUCGUUCUGUUUACGAUGGCAGUACAGCAGAUCACUCGAAGGAUGCUGAGACAUGAAUUGGCAUUCAUACCACAUUUGGAAGUAUCAACAUCGUACGUUGAAAAUGAACUAGAAGACACUGAUAAUAAUAAUAGUUUUAUGCAAUAUGGCAGUACAGCAGAUCACUCGAAGGAUGCUGAGACAUGAAUUGGCAUUCAUACCACAUUUGGAAGUAUCAACUUUGUACGUUGAAAAUGAACUAGAAGAUACUGAUAAUAAUAAUGGUUUUAUGCAACGUACGUGUAAUGGUUAUAGAAUGUAAUUGAAAUUAAAUUAAUAGUAGAGUAACAAAAAGAUCUGUUAAAAGUCUGAAUAAAAGAUUAGUUAUACCUUAA